UUUACAUCCUCCCUCAGAUAUACUUUGAGAGCUGUGUCUAUGAUCAGUGUGCCACAGGAGGAGACCUAGAACAGUUCUGCAAUGCCUUAGAGUCUUAUGCUGCUGCAUGUGAGGGUGCUGGUGUUAACCUUGGAGACUGGAGAAAGGGCACUGUCUGCGGUAUGUUAAAUGAGUAGAUAGCUUGCUCUCUUUUCUAUUAAGAACUUAUAAUAGUCACACAAAUAGUUAAACCAGGCAGAUAUGAAUGUUAGAAAUAAAACACUUAAAGUUUGACUAUGUACCAAAGAUACAGUUACCAGGGUGCCAACCAGUAAGCUUACUGUUAAAAGUCCAACUAAUAUAGAAAACAUGUGGCUCACAAGAUCGCAAAAGCUGGUGACUGGUGAUCCAUGCUUUUACUACACUACGUGCUUUUUUUAUACUGGUGCAGCACUCCUAUGUUUCAGGGUAUCUACAUUUGGAGCUUAUGUCAUCAAUGAGCUUGGAUUCUAAAGAGAUUGGUGAUGGACAUUAAACAUAUAUUUUUAUUUGAUAUGGAUACGCGCAUUCUAAUGAUUGUUAUGUCAGAUCUAAUAUUUAUUUUACAACCCUACAUUUCUUGUACUUUUUAAGUUGUCACUUCAUGGUUUUUGGAGUAAGCUGCUAUAUAUUUCACAAGAGUUUCCUAUAUUUUAUAGUAUGUUUUUAUUUCAGUUUCUUUUUUGUACAGCUUUUUUAAACUAUAUUAUUGUUUGCUAAUAUUGUUUGCUAUAUGUAACGGCAGAUCACAAAAUGCAUAUUUAAAUGAAGUGACAAAACAAUACAUUAAAACAAUUAUGUUUAAAGCAUUACGGUACUAUAGACAGAAAACACAAAUUAAACGUGUAGGUUGCGCUUUCUUUGUAUAUUCUUCCAUCACCCCAACUUGUGAUGUACACACAGUAAGUAAAGGCAUUGUUUUAGAUUGCUCUCUCACAUGUUCACUCACUAGAAUAAUUCUACUGACUGAUGUAAUUACAACCAACCGUCUCUUUGUUGUUAUAAAUGCUAUUGUAGAGUGAAUAACAUCCACAAAUUAUGCUAUCACUUACAGAUGCAAGCACUCCUACCACAGCAUCUACACCUAGAACAACCACCCCAACCACUGUCACC